rnacentral:sRNA from 1 species
ACCCCGGUAUUAUUGCUGUUAUGGGUUUGAAUCGAGCUUAGCCUUGUUCAUUUUUUUACACAACACCCCCGUAAAAAAUACAACACGGCCCGCUCAAACGUGCUGGUUCCAAGAGCACCAAUCCCAAAAAAUCGCCCCAAAAAGCCUCAAAAAAGCCCUCAAGGCGCUUUUUUAGGGCAA